UGUUAUAAAAAUCAUUCAUUUGUAUUAUUAAAAAUUAACGUGAUUGACAGAAUAACUUGGCAAUGACACGUGACGUAUCAUAUGUACCUCAUAUUGAUGUACAUGAAUCGAUUUUUAACAGUAGCAUUUGAUGUUUUCUAAAA
rnacentral:pre_miRNA from 1 species